rnacentral:rRNA from 1 species
UACGUAGGGUGCGAGCGUUAAUCGGAAUUACUGGGCGUAAAGCGUGCGCAGGCGGUUCGUUGUGUCGGUGGUGAAAGCCCCGGGCUCAACCUGGGAAUGGCCAUGGAAACUGGCGAACUGGAGUGUGUCAGAGGAUGGUGGAAUUCCCGGUGUAGCGGUGAAAUGCGUAGAGAUCGGGAGGAACAUCAGUGGCGAAGGCGGCCAUCUGGGACAACACUGACGCUGAAGCACGAAAGCGUGGGGAGCAAACAGG